rnacentral:lncRNA from 1 species
UUUGGAUUUUUUUUUUUGCUUCAUUCAAAUUGAUCUGUUGUAAUACAACAAGAACAAUAUUCAAAGGAACAACUUACAAAAUACCACACUGAAACAUUUCCUAUAAUUAAAAAAAAUAAAUACUUGACAUCAAAACUAAAACUCACCACCAAGCUUUAAAUAUGUCACCACGAUUAAUACCUGCUACUGGCAAGGUUGAAGCCAUUUCAUUACCUUUCUGAUCUGCCAUCGAGAAUACUACAGUACCCACCUGCUCAAUUUUUCACUCAAUAUCUGAAAAUAUUGUUUGUAACGAUCACAGUCUCAUAUCCUUAUACACCAUUUUUGAACCAAUUUCUACAGGAAGGUAGCCAUUAAUCUUCCAUCCCAGGGAUAAGAACAAAUCCAAUGCUAAAAAUAUUGGUUGGCAACUUUAUUAAUGACUGUUUCCUAAAAAAUGGUUGGCAACUUUUCCUAAAUGUUAAAACAUCACACACGUUGUUCGUACAUGUUGGUCCUUG